rnacentral:lncRNA from 10 species
CAGGAGUUCGAGACCAGUCUGGCCAAAACAGUGAAACACCAUCUCUACUGAAAAAAACAAAAAAUUAUGUAGGCGUGGUGGUGCAUGCCUGUAAUCCCAGCUACUUGGGAGGCUGAGCAAGAGAAUGGCUUGAACCUGGGAGGCGGAUGUUGCAAUGAGCCGAGAUCGUGCCACUGCACUCCAGUCUGGGUGACAAAGCAAGACUCAGUCUCAAAAAAUAAAUAAAAUAAAACAGUAAAUUCAAUGGAGGCAAAACAAAUUAGAGUAAAAAAAGCUACUGUGUUUUCACUAAUAGGAUAUUAUUGUCACUUUUUGGAGAUGAAUUCAGUAAUGUGGUUGGUGAGGAAAACGAGAUAUAGGAGGCCAUAUUCGAAGAUGUCAAAAAAUCUUGAGGGUUCAAGGACACAAACAAGGAAGAGUUGAGUUUUCAUAGAUGGAAGUAGCCAGUGGAGAGAAAAAGAGAUGGGAGAUGUAAGAAAGAAAAGAGAAAAUGAAUGGAAUCAGCCUCCCAAAGUGUGGGAUUACAGGCCUGAGUCACCGCACCCUGCCAUCAUCAUGUACAUUUUUUUAAAUCGUGGAAUUGGAAGAGAUUACAUAGGGAAGUUAUAUAUGGAGAGAAAAGAGAGCCUUGGCCCAAGAAAGGUACCAGCAUUUAUAGAUUAGACAGUGGAAUGGCAGCCUACAAAGGAGACAAAGACAGAAAAAGUGGUGAGAUAGGAGGACAACUAAAAGCAGUGUGGAGCCCCA